CAGAAAAAACAGAAGAAAAAGCAAAAGGAUUGGAAGAAGAAGCAAUGAAAGUGGAACUGGAAACCAGGCAUGAGCUGAAGCCCUGGGAGCAGCACUCUGUUGUGAUCAGUGAUCACCAUUCCUCGUUUUGACUACAACGCCUCUUCUUUUCUCCUCAGUCAUUCCCACUCCGGAUUCCUCAUCACCUGCCCCAUCAAGAGGGAGGAAGAGUGCAACAAAAGAAGCCAUGUCAAUUCUUGAAAAGUUGCAAGUAUAGAAGACUUUUAUAUCCUGAUUGCUGAUUGAAACCUGAAGAAUUCCAUGACAACAGAAAUAUCUGCGACCAAUCGAACUAUUGACUUUUAAAGAUGAGAAUCCCUCUGAAUCC